UUAUCGAGUUUGAAAAGGGUUGUAGCUCGGUCUUUCACGAGGCAUGUGCACACCCUACUCAUCCACUCAACACCUGUGCACACUAUGUAGGUUUAGACGAGCAUCGGGGCCCUCGUGCCUCGGUAGGAGUCUGCCUAUGUCUUUAUAAACUCUGUUUAGUAUACGAAUGUACUUGCGAUAAAACGCAUCUUAUACAACUUUCAGCAACGGAUCUCUUGGCUCUCGCAUCGAUGAAGAACGCAGCGAAAUGCGAUAAGUAAUGUGAAUUGCAGAAUUCAGUGAAUCAUCGAAUCUUUGAACGCACCUUGCGCCCCUUGGUAUUCCGAGGGGCACACCCGUUUGAGUGUCGUGAAAUUCUCAACUCAACCACCUUUGCUGGUGUUUGGGCUUGGACUUGGGGGUUUGCUGGCUUCGGUCGGCUCCCCUUGAAUGCAUUAGCUCGAACCCUUGCGGAUCAGCUAUCGGUGUGAUAAUUGUCUACGCCGUGGUUGUGAUGCCACCUUCGGGUGUUGGAUCGGCUUCUAACUGUCCCCUAGGGACAAUUUCUUUGAAAUCUGACCUCAAAUCGGGUGGGACUACCCGCUGAACUUAAGCAUAU
rnacentral:rRNA from 1 species